AUGCCAUGGUUUUUGACAAUUGCUUUAUAGCAAGAUCCUUUCGGCCUAUCAGACCCUUUAACUCUUUUCUCACUAUACAGGCUUGUAGCUGUAACUGUCCUCUUGCUGCUUGAUCACUCUGUUACCUUUCUGGAAUCCCCCCUGAGGAUUGUCUGUCCCAUUUCUGCAUCAAAAGCCUGAAGGUUUUGUUUCCUGGGUCUCUCAAGGUUACAGAGAAAAAUGGCCCCCAGGU